rnacentral:tRNA from 1 species
GCGAGGAUGGCGGAAUUGGCAGACGCGCCAGGUUGAGGGCCUGGUGAGAGCAAUCUCAUGGGGGUUCAAGUCCCCCUCCUCGCA